rnacentral:rRNA from 1 species
AUUGAACGCUGGCGGCAUGCCUUACACAUGCAAGUCGAACGGCAGCACGGGAGCAAUCCUGGUGGCGAGUGGCGAACGGGUGAGUAAUAUAUCGGAACGUGCCCAGUCGUGGGGGAUAACGUAGCGAAAGCUACGCUAAUACCGCAUACGAUCUACGGAUGAAAGCGGGGGAUCGCAAGACCUCGCGCGAUUGGAGCGGCCGAUAUCAGAUUAGGUAGUUGGUGAGGUAAAGGCUCACCAAGCCGACGAUCUGUAGCUGGUCUGAGAGGACGACCAGCCACACUGGGACUGAGACACGGCCCAGACUCCUACGGGAGGCAGCAGUGGGAAUAUUGGGACAAAUGGGCGAAAGACCUGAUCCAGCAAUAGCCGCGUGAGUGAUGAAGG